rnacentral:lncRNA from 1 species
GCAGGCUCUCAAAGCUGUAAAAAAAAGAAAAAAAGAAAAGAAAAGAAAAUGGAUUCUCCUUUAGAGUCUCUAGAAGGAACCAGCCCUGCCAACACCUUGAUUUUAUCGCAGUGAGAUCCAUGUUGAAUCCCAACUUUGAGAACUGUAAGAUAGUAAAUCUGUGUUGGUUUAAGCCACCAAGUUUGUGGUAAUUUAUUACAACAGCCGUGGGAAGCCAACAGUACACUCUUAAGCUUCCAAGAGCAUGCUCUGCCUAGCCUCACUUUUGCACUCUUUAUCUAGGAAAAUAACACUUUUCCUAUUCCAGCAGCAACUGCAGUGUAGGAAUUUAACAAAUGCACACAUGGUCCUUGCCUAAGAGUAACACUCAUAACUUCAGCAGCAUAGGAGCACUAAGCAUGUCAAGGGAAACCACAUGGUAUUUUGCAAAACGGAAACUGAUUCUCUAAAUACAGCCCCAUAGAGAGAGAACUAUACAAGUAUUUUAAUAGUGGAAACAGUAUUUGAAUAAAUGAGACUAAAAUCACAACGUAGUAGAACUAGAGAGGGCCUUAGACAUCAUCCAGUUCUAUUCUUCACAUCAAGAAUGAGGAAACCAGGGGUAAGAAAUACUAAGGUUCAUGGCCAGAAUCUUACAUGAGGCAAUCAUGGAGGUCAAAUUAAAGCUUCUCAAAAUUUAGGACAACGUUUUUGUUUAUACAUGAUGCUGUCUCUUCUAAAGAAUGAUAAUGGCACUGUAUAAUUUGGCAAUAAAACUUCACAUAUUUUUAUGAAACAUGUCGUUUCUUCAUAGUAACAUAUCCUGUUAAAUGACUAAAAAAAUGCAGUAGAGCCUGAGUGAAUUCUGCAGCAGUUAUUGCAAGACCCAGAGGAGAAUUGUAAAAAGCAGACAGACGUGAUUUGUCUGCAUGAGUGGAAUCAUGCAUGAUUAUAGCUUUUCUUCAAAUAACAAUUAAGGUAAAAUAAUGAGUCAUAUACUUAAAGAAAGAUUUCUCUUCUCUUACAUUAAAAUAUAAAUCAUCACUGUUAAUAAUAAAGUAUCAACUGAAAAAAGCAUAAAAUUUGUUUCCAAAGCAACAGAAUGACCAAUAACUUUAUCCCUAGUGCUUAUAUUUGCUUUGUGUGUGUGUGCAAUGAGAAAAAUCAGCCAAGACAAAAACGGAACAGGCUGUCCUGGAACAUCUAAAACAAAUCAGUGCAGCCAUACAUCUCCAAGUUGACUAUGAAAAUCCCCCGCAAUAGAUUCCUUCAUUGAUCCUGAAUAAGGACUCUGAUGGUCUCUGAUUUGAGGCAGUAAAAAUUAAAAACUACGAGGAAUGAAGAAAAGAACUUUACAAUGUACACUAUAUUCCUGUAAAUUAAAUUUAAGAAAAUUGGCUACUGAGUGUUCCUGUGAUUUUAUUGAUAUGCACAUUAGAAAACUUCAUCUUCUUUAGGUAUACUAUAUAGACUUGGUAAAAUGGAACACUAGCAGUAAUUUCCAUAAAGCUGGGUAGCAAAUAUUCAGGAAUAUUAACUCUUAUUAUGCCACUUUAUUUUAAUGAGAAAAUAAAUUUUAGGCUCCACAUAAUUCUAAAUUAUACUGCUUUAUUCUGAGUACAUAACUUGUUUUAAGUUUGGUGAACAUUUGUACUAAGAGGAGUGCCAGGGUCCAGUGUAAAUAGUCUGUUCAGAAAGCUUUGUCUGUAUCAUUGUAGAAGCCCAAAGAAUUUUUGUCCACUUUGCCUUACUCUGGAUAAUUUUUAUAAUCAAAAGUCUCCAGGAUGGCAAUAUUCUUGCCCCUUUCUCUCUUUGAAUAACAGAAUUUUUAGCCCUACCCAGUGGAAUAAUUAUCUGCAAUUGGAAUGUGUAGAGCCCAUUUGUUAAGAGAUUAUGUGCUGAAUUCCUUGGUUUGGAAAUAAGCCAGUUUAAAACUUGAUGCAGUAGAGAAUUGUUCCCUUUUAGUUGGUCAGCCUAAAAUCUAUUUUCUUUUGUCUGGAUCCAUGGGGACAACAGGCUAUUACUUUCUUCCAAAUCACUUUAAUUCUCUCUAGAUAAAAAUAGGCAAUUGCAUUUGCAUUAAUUUAAUUAAUACAGCUACAUAAAAACUCUUAUUGCCUGGUAAAAAGUAGAAGAUUAAUUGCAAGGAAAACAAGUCCUAUUGAAAGCCUAAGAUAUUUCUAUCCAGAACUCAAUAUCAUUUUUCUUUUUAUUCUUAAUGAUUCAAUAACGCAAUUAUAUCCCCAUCACAUUGUUUGCUAUAGUUGGUGAAAUGUGCAUGGGCGCAUGUAUGUGUAUGUGUGCACUUGAAGGAAUGUGUAUGUCUGGGUAUCUGUACAUGCUUGCAAACCUGGUAAGCAUUACUCUAAGUUGAAACAUGAACUAGAGAACAUGGUAGUUGUUUUAAAAAUCAGUCCUGGGGAUUUGGAAUCUCACUAAUUUAACCCUUAGAAGGGGGACCAGGAGAGCUCAAAUUUGCUUGCAAGUAGCUUUGUAAGCUAGUAAUUUGUUCUCUUCUAUUUCCAGAAACUGUGUAAUUUUUUUUUUCACAGUUCCUUCAACAUCCUGGUGAGGCUGCUGUUGUUUUCCAUCUCAUAUAGGAAACAAACUAAAUAUGGAAUGCCUGAGGGAUGCAAUUAUGUUAAAGAAAAAGGAGGUGGGAAACGAUGGCUGAAGAUCUCUAUGCUGGAAAGUCUUGGCAGUGCCAGGUUGAGUUCUAAUUCUGGGCACAUUGGAGACCUACUUGGCAAGGACCUGUCUUUAUGGUGCCAGCCAUCACAGGAAAGCAAAGAGUGAAAGGAGAGAGUGGACAGGUUCUUCUUGGGCAGAUCCACUCACUUCUUUGAUUCUUUUUUUGGCUGGAUCUGUUUGCCUGGCUCAACAUUUUGUUUUUUAUUUUGGCAUCAAUGACUUGCUUCUUAGGGAUCUUCAGAAGAUUAUUCUAAAUUUAACAAUGUAGUCUAAGAUUUUUCGCUAAGUUUAGUAGAAAAUACUCAAAAUGUCCGUAAAAAAAUAUGGGCAAAAAAUAUUCUUCAGCCAUAGGAAAAAGAAAGCAGAUUCUCCUGAUGUAUAUUUAUAGUCACUAAAUACAUUUCUUGCCAUGCUAUCCUCAGAGUCAUAGGUUAUAGGUGAUAAUCACCGCAAAAGUAGAAAAUAUUCUACACCGUCUUUACUGGGAUAGCAUUAAAGUAGGAAGAGUGGAAGGAAAAUAUCAAAAAAACACUAAUGACAAGUAAUCCAAGAGACCAUACUAUAACAAAAGUAAGUAAUAAAAUCACAGCAUUCUGAAUUUACAACAUGGUGGUCUAAAUAAUAGGAAUAAGUUUCCCACUAAAAACAUCUGAAAGAGCUGAGUGUAAUAUAAAAACACUAAUAAAGACAGUUUAGAUAGUCAUACUAAUUUCAGAAAAAAUAGCCUAUAAUAAAAAAGUCAUUAAUAGAGAUAAAGAAUGUCACUUCAUAAUGAUAAAAGAGUUAAUUUACCAAGAACAUGUAACACUUUAAAUUUUUUAUAAACUUAGUAAAGCUGUUUCAUAUUUUUAAACCCCAAAGUGACAGAAUUUUAAGAGAAAUUAUUCAAGAGAAAUAUUCAAGUCCACAUUUAUCUGGGGAUAUUGUUAACACACCUCUCAUAGAAACUGAAAAAUCAAGCAGAAAAAAA